AUAGUUAAAAAAGGCUGAAAGGAAAAAAUAUGAUGAUUUGUUUCAAGAAAGGGAGUGACUUACUUCAAAAUGUCAUUUUAAAAUUUUUAUUUUUUAAUGAUAUUCUGGUGUUAUUACCAAAUGUUUAGCAGUAUGAAACCUAUAAUAUUAUAUACCAUACUAUAUAGCCUAUUUUACUUAUAAAGUUAAUAAUCUGUAAAGUAAUUUGUAAAAAUUUUUUAAUUGUAAAAUUGCUACAUGAGAAGACAAGUUGUUAGAUGAAAUUCAAAUAUUCUCUAUGUUUGUGUUGUGUAGGUCAAAAAAUAAUAAACAAAGAUGAUAUUGAUUGUAAUGACCAAGAGAUUCAUUUUAAGACACAUCAAUCUUCAUCAUCUUUAAAUAAAAAGGAUAAACAUUAUGGAUUUCCAUUAUCUCAAGCAAAAACAAAGAGUUCAAAAUAUUAGUGGUAAGAACUGUCAAAAACUUGUGAUAGCUAUGAUGAAGAGGUUAGUAAAUUAAAAGUGCAUUCCUAUAAAUACUCUGUUUAAUUUUAUAGUGAUAUUACUCCCAUCUUACAAUCCAUUAUACAAAUCCCAUGCAUGGCUCUACGUUAGCCGUUUUACCAUAAUGGGAUGACUGAAUAACCGUGAAUUUCAUACGCGCAAACUAGCACAUGUGCGAAGCAGUUACAAAAACUGGCACAAUGCCAAAUGGCAUAAGUGCAAAUGGGCAUAACUGCACAAAAAGAAUUCCAAACAUUGGCAUAAUUGCAAACUGCUAUAAGUGCAAACUGGCAUAUGUGUAAAUUGGUAUAAGUGCGCUAAAUAGAUUUACAAACAUUCGCAUAAGUGUGAAUUGCCAUAAGUGGGAACUGGUAUAAGUGUGAAGCAGUUGCAAAAACUCGCAAAAGUGCAAACAACAUAAAUGCGAACUGGCAUAAGUGUGCCAAAUAAAUUUGCAAAAUUUAGCAUAAUUCCAAACUGCGAAUUUAUUACACGCAUUUAUGUCAGUUCGCACUUCUGCCAGUUUUUGUAACUGUUUUGUACGUAAUCAAAUUUUGCACUUAUGCCUAUUCGUAUUGUUUGCUAACCUGUUUGGCCCACUAAUGCCAAUUUACACUUUUACCAGUUUGCAAGUUUAAAGUGGUCAGCUUGUCUUAAAGUGCCUUAAAUCCAUCGUUAUAAUAUUACUUUGUUUGUAAAUUGUUUUUAAAAAUAAAUUUAAAAAUAACUUUUAAA